rnacentral:rRNA from 1 species
GGUGUAUUUUAUCAUGGUACCAGAUUUAUUUCAAUACUUAAAUACAUAGUACUUUCUGGGGUGAGAGGAGAUAGGCGAAGCGUGACGCUUUGUUAGUCGGUACGAUUUUCUCGACAUUAGUAUAAAUUAUUAAGCAACACAAGAAAUUGUGGCUUAGAAGUUUUGUUUUUAAAGUGGCUAAAAUGAAUGCCAGCAGCCGCGGUUAGAUUCAUGCUUUGUUAAAUCUUGACGGUUUUAUUAAAUGCAUAUAGUAUAUAGCUUUAGCCGGCGCGGAAUAAGGGUAUAAUCUUUUUCAGUUGCUUGGUUCAAACAAGGUUGUAAUGUUUUUUAUGAAAGUGUGGCUAAAAACCGGGAUUUGAUACCCCGUUAUUCACAAGGUAAAAUAAGAUUACCAGAUGACUAAAAGUUGGUUCUUCAAAGUUAAAUGAAUAGGCGGCCUCCAACAAACAUACAGGGGAAUCUGGGAGUUAAAAGAUGGUCCGCUUACAUUUGUUCUUUAUCUUAUUUGCAUAUGUAUGGUUGUUUACGAAUCAAUAUGCGUGAGAUAUUGGUGUAAUUCUUAUCUUGUAGUGACUCGGUAGGGAGUAAUUCAGAUUAACAUGUAGCUAUGAUAAAGCCAUCCUGGAUGACAGUUGGGAUAUCAUUUACAUGCUAAAUAAAUGGUAUGUAGCGUCAGCCAAAAGAGGUGAAAAUUCUUUUGAAAGAAGGACUUGUGAGUAAAUCUGUUAAAUAAUAGCAGAUUGAAAAGGAUACUGGAGGAGUACUAAUCGCCCGUCGCUCACGGAGAAAUCUGAGAUAAGUCGUAACAAGGUAACGGUACCGGAAGGUGCCGUUAAUUAGCU